UACGGAGGAUCCGAGCGUUAUCCGGAUUUAUUGGGUUUAAAGGGUGCGCAGGCGGGAGAUUAAGUCGGCGGUGAAAUUUUGCAGCUUAACUGUAAAAGUGCCAUCGAUACUGGUUUCCUUGAGUGUAGAUGAAGUAGGCGGAAUUUGUGGUGUAGCGGUGAAAUGCAUAGAUAUCACGAGGAACUCCGAUUGCGCAGGCAGCUUACUAAACUACUACUGACGCUCAGGCACGAAGGCGUGGGGAUCAAACAGGAUUAGAUACCCCGGUA
rnacentral:rRNA from 1 species